AGUGAACGCUAGCGGUAGGCCUAACACAUGCAAGUCGAACGGCAGCACAGUAAGAGCUUGCUCUUACGGGUGGCGAGUGGCGGACGGGUGAGGAAUACAUCGGAAUCUACUUUUUCGUGGGGGAUAACGUAGGGAAACUUACGCUAAUACCGCAUACGACCUACGGGUGAAAGCAGGGGAUCUUCGGACCUUGCGCGAUUGAAUGAGCCGAUGUCGGAUUAGCUGGUUGGCGGGGUAAAGGCCCACCAAGGCGACGAUCCGUAGCUGGUCUGAGAGGAUGAUCAGCCACACUGGAACUGAGACACGGUCCAGACUCCUACGGGAGGCAGCAGUGGGGAAUAUUGGACAAUGGGCGCAAGCCUGAUCCAGCCAUACCGCGUGGGUGAAGAAGGCCUUCGGGUUGUAAAGCCCUUUUGUUGGGAAAGAAAAGCAGCAGGUUAAUACCCCGCUGUUCUGACGGUACCCAAAGAAUAAGCACCGGCUAACUUCGUG
rnacentral:rRNA from 1 species